rnacentral:rRNA from 1 species
UACGUAGGGGGCAAGCGUUGUCCGGAAUCAUUGGGCGUAAAGCGCGUGUAGGCGGCUUCGUAAGUCCGUUGUGAAAGUCCAGGGCUCAACCCUGGAAUGCCGAUGGAUACUGCGGAGCUAGAGUCCGGAAGAGGCGAGUGGAAUUCCUGGGUGUAGCGGUGAAAUGCGCAGAUAUCAAGGAGGAACACCAAUGGCGAAGGCAGC